CCUACGGGAGGCAGCAGUGGGGAAUUUUCCGCAAUGGGCGAAAGCCUGACGGAGCAAUACCGCGUGAGGGAGGAAGGCUCUUGGGUUGUAAACCUCUUUUCUCAGGGAAGAACAAAAUGACGGUACCUGAGGAAUAAGCAUCGGCUAACUCUGUGCCAGCAGCCGCGGUAAUACAGAGGAUGCAAGCGUUAUCCGGAAUGAUUGGGCGUAAAGCGUCCGCAGGUGGUUUUGUAUGUCUGCUGUUAAAGAGUUAGGCUUAACCUAAUAAAGGCGGUGGAAACUACAAGACUAGAGUACGUUCGGGGCAGAGGGAAUUCCCAGUGUAGCGGUGAAAUGCGUAGAGAUUGGGAAGAACACCGGUGGCGAAAGCGCUCUGCUAGGCCUGUACUGACACUGAGGGACGAAAGCUAGGGGAGCGAAUGGGAUUAGAUACCCCAGUAGUCCUAGCCGUAAACGAUGGAUACUAGGCGUUGUCUGUAUCGACCCGGACAGUGCCGUAGCUAACGCGCUAAGUAUCCCGCCUGGGGAGUACGCAGGCAACUGUGAAACUUAAAUGAAUUGACGG
rnacentral:rRNA from 1 species